ACCAGAAGAAGCAGAAACCGAAAGCUGCUAGCAGAGCUAGCUUGCUGUUGUUCUGGUGUGUGAGGAGAAAAUUUGAGGCUCUGCAGUAAAAAUGUCUUUACUUCAGUCUCUGGGAAAGUUGAUCAGUUAAAGCAACUAACUGCUGCUGCUGCAGAAAUCUUCUCACCAGGCUGUGGAAACGUUCUUCUCCUCAGCAACUUGGUGGAGUUCUUUCCAGAACCAGAGAAGAUUUUUCUCUUUCAUCAGAUUGAAGAGGUUCCCUCUAUCAGACUCGCUCAUCUGAGUUGGUCAUGAUGCAGGAUCGCUGCUCGCUCUGGUCCAUCCUGCUCACACUCUCCGACGGAAAAGCCCCGAAUCUGAAUGUGACUCUGGAGGAAAAAGCGGUUAGCUCUACUCCGUGAACUCUGGUGACCAAAGGUCCUCUUUUCCAGACUGGAUCUGUCCUCAGCUGAUCAGAACCAAAGCGUUGGAUCUUUAAUUUCCUGCGUUGUUCUGAAGCAGCAUCUUAAUCAGCUCUCCUGCUUUGUUUCUAUUGCAGCUGUUAGCUAAACACGGCUAAAGAAAGCCUGCUACCACUUCAGGAUCAUCCAUCAGCUGGGACUGCUUCAUCGUGUGUUCUUCACCACCUGGACCUGGACAGCAUGGACACAGCUUUUCAACAGGUGGUGCUGGUUAAAGAAGAAGCUCUAGAAGAACAUAGCGCUGGUGUCAACCAGCAGGACUUAGAUUUUCUCCACAUAAAGGAGGAACAGGAGAAACUCCAGCCCAGUAUGGAAGGGGCGCAUCUCCAUUUGAAGGAGGAGACUGAUGCUGCCAGGUUUCCGUUCACUGUUGCUUCUAUAAAGAGUGAGGAUGAUGAAGAGAAGCCUCUGUUCUCACAGCUUCAUCAGAAGCCAAUAGAAGACAGAGAUGUUUCAACCAGCAGCGCAGCUGACCAGACGACAGCAGAAACUGGUGGAGUAGAAACUAGCCGGAACCCAGAUCGGAACCCUCAUGAACUGACUCCUGAUUCUUCAGAGACUGACGUUGGAGAUGAUGAUGAUGAUGCAACUCUAGACUCUGAGCUGUCAGACUCUGGGUCUGAAACUGGAGACCGAGACAAUGACUGGAAUGAGAACAGGUGUUCUGAGUCAGACUUUAGGACAGUCAACAAAUCCUUUAGUCAUAGGACACUUGUAAACAGUCACAUGAGAGUCCAUACAGGACAGAAGCCUUUCACCUGUGAGUUCUGUGGCAAAAGAUAUAGCCAAAAGUCAAAUUUAAACACGCACAUGAGAGUCCACACAGGAGAGAAGCCUUUUGCUUGUGAGCUCUGUGGAAAGAAAUUUAGCUUAAAGUCAACUUUAAAUAAACACAUGAGAGUACACACAGGAGAAAAGCCCUUUGCUUGUGAGCUCUGUGAGAAUAGAUUUAGUGAAAAGGGAAGUUUAAACAAACACAUGAGAGUCCACACAGGACAGAAGCCCUUUGCUUGUGAGCUCUGUGGGAAUAGAUUUGGUGAAAAGGGAAGUUUAAACACACACAUGAGAGUCCACACAGGAGAUAAGCCUUUUGCUUGUGAUGUAUGUGGAAAAACAUUUAGCAUAAGAUCACAUUUAAACAGACACAUGAGAGUCCACACAGGACAGAAGCCUUUCGUCUGUGAGUUCUGUAGCAAAAGAUAUAGCCAAAAGACAAAUUUAAACACACACAUGAGAGUCCACACAGGAGAGAAGCCCUUUGCUUGUGAGCUCUGUGCGAAUAGAUUUAGUGAAAAGGGAAGUUUAAACAAACACAUGAGAGUCCACACAGGACAGAAGCCCUUUGCUUGUGAGCUCUGUGGGAAUAGAUUUAGUGAAAAGGGAAGUUUAAAAACACACAUGAGAGUCCACACAGGAGAUAAGCCUUUCGCUUGUGAGCUCUGUGGGAAUAGAUUUAGUGUAAAGGGAAGUUUGAAAACACACAUGCGAGUCCACACAGGACAGAAGCCUUUCGCCUGUGAGUUCUGUGGAAAAAGAUUUAAUGAAAAGACAAAUUUAAACACACACAUGAGAGUCCACACAGGGGAUCAGCCUUUUGCUUGUGAGCUCUGUGGAAAUAGAUUUAGUGUAAAGGGAAAUUUAAACGCACACAUGCGAGUCCACACAGGAGAGAAGCCUUUCGCCUGUGAGUUCUGUGGAAAAAGAUUUAGCGAAAAGACAAAUUUAAACACACACAUAAGAGUCCACACAGGGGAGAAGCCCUUUGCUUGUGAGCUCUGUGGGAAUAGAUUUAGUGAAAAGGGAAGUUUAAACACACACAUGCGAGUCCACAAAUGACAGAUGCCUUUUGCUUGUGAGCUCUGUGGAUGAAGAUUUAGCCGAAAGAAAUCUUUAAACAAUCAUCUAAGCAUCCUUUAGGGCUGAAUGAUCUAUUGCAGGGGUCUCCAAACUUUUUUGGCCCGUGAGCUACACACACAAUGGAAGUACAGCAGAGUUACUGCCAUAUGAUUUAUUUACAUUGAUACUUUCCAUGUGUGAAUGUGCUUAUGUUAAACAUGCUAUACUUACUAUAGUAACAUGCAUUGUAUUCACAAGUUCAUUUCUCUGUAUUUCAGUACAUCAAUAUAUAUAUUUGUAGUAUAAGUAAACUAGUGACAUUCUGAAAACCAAAUUAAACAAAACAUAUUUAGUUUUUUAAACUAAUCAAAUACUUCCAGAUAAUGAAUAACAAAUUUACUUCCAUGUGAAUGAUUUGGUAAUUUUUUUAGAGGUUGGUAACAAGUUUUUGAGCACACAGGAACAGCUAACCUGUAAAGCUGAUGAUAUUUUAAAUAAAAUACAAGCUAAAUGUGAUGAAAACACAAAAGUGUAAAUAGUUUGAAUUGAAAAAAAGUGUUAAAUCAGAAAUAAGAUUUUUUUUUCCUGCUCCUGAUUUACUGAAUAAUUUUUAUGUUUUUGUUUUUUUUUUUGGUCAUGAAAGUUAAGUUUUGCUGUGUUUAUUGCUGACAAUAUGAAGGUUGGAGAAUUAUCCUUUUUUCUGCAUCUUGUAGGUUUUUUUCUCCAUGGGUCUGAAAACUAAUUAAACUUAUUAAAACUAAACUUUUUCAUGAUGCCUUCCAUUAACCUAUCCUUGCAUCUGUGCUCUACUAGGUCUUUAUCAGUAUUGUGUUACAUUUAUUCUAUAUGUAUUUUAUACGUAUACCUAUUAUGUGCUGUUUUAUCUUUGUUCUAUAUUUUAAAGUAAAUAAUUGUACUUUAUAUGCAUUUAUUUUUGUGUACUAUGUUCUGUGUCAAUAUUCUUUGAUUUGAUUUUACACAACAUGAUGUGACAUUUUAAGUAUUUCCUUUCACUUGUGAUUGUUUUAACUAUGUGAAGCACAUUGGGCUACCGUUUUGUGUAUGAAAUGGGCUAUAUAAUAAACUUGACUUGAGCAAGCAUUCACAAUUAUGUUUUAUUACCCCCCCAUAUCCUGUCUGGCUGUGAAACAAACAUAAUUAAUGUCUGAAUGCUGGUGACAAGCCUAACAGAUUUACUCUCAGCUGGAGCAUCAAAGCUGCUGCUUUAAUGUCACGCCUGAUACUUAAAACUUUAUUGUUAUUUGAAUGCUUUGUAAUUCCGACCAGACACGGAGACAGGUGAAAGAGAAAGGAAGAAACAAAAGGAAGGGGGGUUCCACAAAAAUAAACAAUGAAUGAUGAGCAAGAGUCUGCUUCUAGACCUAGAUCAUGUUUUAUUACUAAAUGAGACACUCAGCUGAAACUGGGGGAAAUAUAUGAUGAAUCUAAAUCACAGAAGAUGUCCAGGGUUUUCAAAGCUCGUGUUCAUCAUGUUGUGGGGGACCACAAAGAGGCUACACUCACACCCAGUUCCUGGGACCACAGACAUAUAUAUUGACUUGGGACUGUUAUUAUGUAAAUAUUGUUGACUGCUUGGCCACUUGAUCAGAACCAGAAACGUAUGUGUAACAGACCAUCUGGGUGUUCAAGGAGCCGUAUGUGCAGGGGCACACAGAGGCUACGCUCACACCCAGUUCUUUGGACUGUUUGUAUGUAGAUGUAGCAGGACUGGUUGGCAUCUCAACCAGUUGAUCGCCCAGCCUAUCACACAUAUUAAUCAAACCAGCCCACCAUUAAAACAUACAUACAUAUAUAUACAUAUAUAUAAAUAUAAAUGUGUGUGUGUGGGUGUGUGUGUGUAUCAGAAACAUUUAACCAGAUGAGUCGAUAGAGAACUCAUUCUCAUUUACAACAACGAUCUGGCCAAGAGGCAGCAGCAACAGACACAUAAUUAGCUUUACAUCAAAGAAAACAGAUGAGAUAAAAACAAACAAGAUUAAAAUAAAAAUAAAGUAAAUAACAAAAGUAUUAUAACAGGUGUAAAACUUGUCUUUAAGUAAUUGUUUGAGGAAGAUAUCACAUGUUAUGUGUUUUAUUAGUCCCAUUCUGAACACAGGUGUUUUAUUCUGCUCCAGCAGGUAGCGCUAGUGCACCUUUACGCUGGUCACCGACCACCGGAAAAAGCAGAAACCGGAAGCUGCUAGCAGAGCUAACUUGAUGUUCUGGUGUGUGAGGAGAAUAUUUGAGGCUCUGCAGUAAAAAUGUCUUCACUUCAGUCUCUGGGAGAGUUGAUCAGCUAAAGCGACUAACUGCUGCUGCAGCAGAAAUCUCACCAGGCUGUGGAAACUUUCUUCUUUUCCUCAACAACUUGGUGGAGUUCUUUCCAGAACUUCUGCGAUCUUUGUGACAAUCUGAGCUCUAGAAUUAGGUUUUAGGUGAGAAAAGCUUUUCUCUAGACUUCCUGCCCUCUGGAUCUGCUGCUGUUCCUUUGGCCUCUCUGAGAAACGCGCUCGUUUUGCUGCUUUCAUCAGAUUGAAGAGGUUCCCUCUAUCAGACUUGCUCAUCUGAGUUGGCCAUGAUGCAGGAUCGCUGCUCACUCUCUGAUCCAUCCUGCUCACACUCUCCGACGGAAAAGCCCCGAAUCUGAUUGUGACUCUGGAGGAAAAAGCGCUGUUAGCUAAACACUGCUAAAGAAAACCUGCUACCACUUCAGGAUCAUCCAUCAGCUGGGACUGCUUCAUCGUGUGUUCUUCACCACCUGGACCUUGACAGCAUGGACACAGAGGGAACACGGCCAGUGACACUAGGGCAAAUAUUAACAUUUGCCUCUGGUGUGGACACCAUCCCGCCACUUGUAUUUUCACACAGGCCUGGGACUGAGUUUCUGCAUGUGGAACAUGGAAACCGCUGCAUCUUCCCAGAGGCAAACACAUGUGAAGUGAUCCUGCGGCUGCCUGUUCACCCGACCUACAACAUCUUUGUGGAGUACAUGGAGUCUGGCAUCUUGCAGUCCCCUACAUUUGGGUUCGUCUGAGUUUAGAUGCUGUCAGGUCAAUGUAUCCAGUUUGCAUCCUGCUGACUGAAAGUUAACCACAGGCUCCAACGAGGCUAAACAUGAAUGCAGACCUGCAAACCUGUACGCAUUUUGCGUAGCCAGUAUGCAAUUUGGCAUCUAUUUAAGCUGGUACGACUCACCCCUCUAAACUACGCAAAAAGCUGCGGAUACGUGAGUUGAGUUCUGUGGCAAAUAUGCACGUGUGGUACUCAUAUCUGACAACACGACUCAGCGGCACGGUGAAGAAGUUUAAGCCAAUCAUCAUAGAAAAGCAGAGAACAACCAGAGCUAUCCUGCCUAGCCUAUAGCGUAACACUCCCGCUCCCCUCUUCCCUGCUUCGCCUUGCCCGCUGCUCUCUCCCUCCGGUUCACCACUCGCUGCUGUUCUGGCUAGGUAAAGUACGUGUGUGUGUGUGUGUGUGUGUGUGUGUGUGUGUGUGUGUGUGUGUGUGUGUGUGUGUGUAUAAAAUUUUACAUCCAGUGACUGGGGAGAUUAGAUUAGAUUAGAUUAGAGAUUAGAUUAGAAAAGCAAUUGAGUUGCAAAAGUCCACCAAAAAAAAAAAAAAAAACACCGCACAAGUGCUACUUAAAUUUAUUUUGACAAGGUUGGCAGGUCUGUGAAUGUCAGGACGGCGCUUACAUUUACUACUUGGUUGUUGAUUGUUGUUCCUAAUGCAGAUUUUUGAUUUAUUUACUGCCAUGCUGACAGCCUGGCAGUAUUCUGUUAGAAGCUAAGAGUUGCAGAUAACAUGUGAUAAUAGCAUGUGGUUUACAUAUGUGUCACAUCCCCGACAUGUGUUGGUAAAAAUGUGAAGGAUGGGGGUAACAUAAGAACUGGUGGAGGAGUUUAAAAUGGGUUUAUUUGUACAAAAAGGUAUUAAAAACACAAGCAAAACUGAUUUCUCUAAACGGUUAACAUUACAAAGCAAAUUAUCAGCUAUAAAACACCUGGUAAAAACUUUAUUAAAAGUUUUACCGCAACUAAGGUGUUUUAAAAUCCUGAAGUUGAUAAAAGGCUAAAAACAUUCUACUGACUAAAAACACCUGGUAAAAACUUAUUUUGAAAGCUUUAACACAACGGAAGGUGUUUAAAACCGAGGAAGCUAUCCGUAGUGGAACUCUUUAACCAAGAGCAAUCUUUGACACGUCGUCAAGGUUGCGUGCGAAGCUCUGUGCUGAGGAUUGGAAUCAGAGAGCUGUGUGUGAGUAGCAGGUAUCUGCCUCUUAUGAAGGCAGCAUGCCCCGCCCCACAAUCACCAGAAUUUCAUCCACCUUGUCAAAUCUCCAUGAACCAACUUGUUUGUCCUACCACAUUCAGGUUGUUGUUCUUAUUGCAGAUUCUGUGGCAGUGAUGAAGUCUACUGUGGGGUUGUGUUAUGGAGAAAUGGUGAAAUUGAGUCCUUUAGUUAGGACACCCUUCUCUGUUUGUGUGAAGAUUCUGUGUCAUAAGUUCUUCUCCCACUGGUCCUGGACAUCUAUCCGGUUGGUGUCCUCUGGUGGCGAUCCAGUCAUUUCUGAUGUUUUUGGCUUUAGUUUUGAGAAUUUGCGUUGUUGCCGUUCGUUGCUUUUCCUGUGCUGCGCUAGCUGAGCCUUUUCAGUGAAGUUGGAAACUUCUUCUAACACUGUGCUAGGGAGAAGUUCUGAAAGCUUCUCUGUGAUAUUGGAGAUCAUGUGGGUAAGGGCUUCUAUGUGUGGCAUUUGGAUAAAUGGGUCUGUUUUAGCCAUUCGUUUAGCAGCUGUUGUGCUUUAUGAAGAAUCUCUUCUGCUCUGUGUCCUUUAAAAGUACUUCUAGUCUCAAGCUUUUUGGAAGGAGACUUUGUUGUCGACAUCUCAGGUUGAAACAGGUGGUGUCUGUAGUCAGCCAGCUUCCUUCAUGUCCACUCAUAUCCCCUUACAAUUCCAAGGGUCUUUCCCAAAGUGUCGGGCCACAUGCUGGUGAAGGUUCUCAGUCAGCCAGGUCAUUGAUGACUGAGAACCUUCACUAGCAUGUUGCCCUGUCAGUCAUCAGGACUUUACACCAUCGGGCUGAGAACAUUCCCACAAAGACUGAAGUAAAAGAAAUGGAAGAAAAACAUCAAGAAAGCUCUCCAGAACUGCAGAAACCCUAACUGGGCCUUUGUGAAAUCUACAAAGAAGUCUGGAAAAGCAUCCAAAACAGCAACCAGCAAAGAAAGGUGCAAAGGCACCGUCAUCCCAUACAUGGCAGGAGUCGCAGAGAAACUGGAAGAAUCUUCUCCAAACACAACAUCCCAGUAAACUUUAAACAGACAGGAACUGGUCCAUCCAAAAGACAAAACACACAAACAGAAGCUCAGUGGUGUUGUUUAUGCAGUCCAGUGUAGUGAGGACUGUCCAGAUCUUUGCAUCGGGGAAACUAAACAACAAUUACACAAACGCAUGGCACAACACAGGAGAGCCACCUCUUUAGGUCAAGGCUCUGCAGUCCACCUACACCUGAAGGACAAGGACACACCUUUGCAGAUGACAAUCUCCACACUAGUCUGAACAGAGAAGAUAGAUGGCUUGAGAGAAGAGUAAAGGAAGCUAUCUAUGCCAAACAUGAAAACCCUACUUUAAAUAUGGGAGGGGCUUAGAUUUCACCUUUCUAGUACCUAUAAUGCAGCUUUGGAUCUCAUUCCUAAGCAGUUUCAGUCUAGGACACACCUUCCUGCAUCCAAUCAACACAACGACUCCCUCUCAAUGAAGGCCAGCAUCUCAUCAGGGGGUAGAGAGGAGGGGUACCCAGAGUAGUUUCUGUCAAACAUCGCCUCGUCUUGGGUGAACAGUAGGCUACACACUGCUCGGGCCAAGAAACAAGGAGCAGAAAGCAACAACGUUAUCAAGUCCCCUCAGGUCAAAUAGGAACUAGGUGUGAAAGAAUGAACUCAGAAUAAUAAAAGGGGAAAUGAGUCGUGCACGGUUGCAGAGUAAAAGAGGAACUGAAACUUCAAAUGGAGGUGGUGAUAAUUAAUAUAUUUAUGUGUGUUUAUUAACCAUUGUACAUCUCAUGGACUAGCCUGUGUGACAGUUUUUUUUUUUGGAGUGUGUUAAAAGCCAUGUUCAACAGACAGAGUGUGCUUAUAAGAUCUGCAGCAGAAACAGGCGUGAUAAAAAAUGACAAAUGUAUAACACGCACUGUGAUUGGAGCUUUUUGGUGAUGACCUAGAGCUGACAACAUUUAAGGUAUAGAACCCAUGACUGGGGACAAAUCGGGGGCCCUCGUCUAGAGACAGUCUGCAGAGAGGGUUUGCUUAAUCAGAGCGACUGAACAAGCUUUGUUUCAUCUUGGAUCACCAGCGCUGGCUGUGAAAAAUAAUACCAACGGGUGUGUAAUGCACUAACACAUGAGUCCAGGAUGGAGGGUCUUCUACCCAAUGCAGAGGGAUCUAGGUCCACACUGGUACCUAUGGAAUCCACGACUGUGGUCACUGACCUACUAACGCAGGUUCUCCUGUAAUAGGAGCUCUCACCGAUCUCAAAACAAUAAAACUCACCGGAGCUCUAGAUACAAAAGGGAAAGAAGGGACAAAACUGCACAUUCCAGGGUGGCCUUUUAUUGUGGGCAGUAUAAGGUACACCUGUGCACUACUCAUGAUGUCAGCAUUUUGAUGUGGCACACCUGUGAGGUGGGAUGGAUUAUCUCAGCAAAGCACAUGUGCUCACUAUCACACAUUAAGACUGAUUUGUGAAAAAUGUUUGAGAGAAAUGGUAAUAUUGUGUAUCUGGAAUGAAUUUUAGAUCUUUAAGUCAGUCUCAUGAAAAAUCAGAGCAGAAACAAAGGUGUUGCGUUUAUAUUUUUGUUGAGUGUAAUGAAUCACAUGUAUGUUAAUCCCCAUAUUAAAAAUUUCAAUGUUUGGGUGUUACUCACGUCCCUUUGAACUGAGAAUAGAGAAUAGACUUUAUUGUAAUUGCUCAUGGCAAUUAAAUUACAGAUGGUCCGCCAUCAACAGUGCACAAGACAAUAAAUGACAAUAAAUGUCAAAAGCCAUAAAGGACUAAAAACAAUUUAAAAACAUUUAGCAAACAACAAGAAAGUACAACCAGUGAUUCAGAUCUGCUAAUACAAUAAAAUGAUUUAAAACAGAUUAGUCCACAUUACUGAUGGGGAUGUGGGGGCUGAAUGGUGCUGUUGUGUUGAAUGUUCUGAUGGCCCAAGGGAAGAAGCUGUUGGAAAGUCUGGUGGUGUGUGAUUUAACUGACCUGAAGCGGCGCCCUGAGGGCAACAGUUCAAACAGGCAGUGGGCAGGGUGGGUGGGGUCACGGAGGAUAGCAGCGGUUCUCUUCAGGCAGCGGGUUCUGGAGAUGGCCUCCAGGGAUGGCAGGGUGCAGCCAGUAAUCUUCUGGGCAGUGUUUAUUGUCCUCUGAACAGCCUUCCUGUCCUCAGCAGUGGAGCCUGCAUACCACACACUCAGAGAAUAGGUGAAGGUGCUCUCCACGGAGCAGUGGUAGAAAGCCAGCAGCAGUUUCUGAUCCAGGCCACACCUUCUCAAGAACCGGAGAAAGUGCAGCCACUGCUGAGCCUUUUUAACCAGAGCUCUGGUGUUGGCAGACCAGGACAGGUCAGCAGAGAUGAUGGUGCCGAGGAACCUGAUGGAGGGGACACGGUCCACACACUCUCCAUUUAUGAGGAGAGGGGCGUGCGUGUGUGACUGUGUCUUCUGAAAUCCAGAAUAAGCUCUUUUGUUUUUUGUAUGUUCAGAGUGAGGUUGUUAUCUGAGCACCACCUUGACAGAUUACUGACCUCUGCCCUGUACUCUGCCUCGUCUCCGUCUGUGAUGAGGCCGACCACAGUGGUGUCAUCUGCAAACUUAAAGAUGGCAGUUGAUGGGUGGGAUGCGGUACAGUCCGAUGUGUACAGAGUGUACAGUAGGGGGCUCAGCACACAGCCCCUAGGAGAGCCAGUACUGAGCAGGAUGGAGGAGGAGAGCUGGGAGCCAAGUUUAACAUGCUGUGGUCGAUUUGUGAGAAAGUCUUUUAUCCAGUGGCAGGUGGAGGGAGGGAUCUGAAGGCUCAGCAGUUUUGAGAUAAGAAUGUCUGGGAUGAUGGUAUUGAAUGCUGAACUGAAGUCAACAAAGAGCAUCCUGACGUAGCUUCCUCUGGUCUCUAGGAGGCUAAGUGUUGUGUGCAGCAUCAGGGCGAUGGCAUAUACCAAAUGGAUGACUCACCUGUGACUGGUACAGCCUAGCACUGAGUUAGACCUAUAGCUGAUUUAUGCAGGCUUAUACUGCUAGGUUUCAGCUUGUGCUGAAGGAGACUCUCAACAGGCGCAGGCCAGGUGCAGACUAGAUCAUCUAAAAGCUGUUCAAAGGGAAAAGGCCAGGACGUAUGUCAUUGCAGCCUUAGCAAAGGAAGAUAGGGUAGGAAGCAGAUGGGGCAAUGUGUCUCCCAUCUUAUCUGGAGGAGGGAGUGAAAGCAGAGAUGUCAGUUACCAAGGCAACAGGUGAUGGCCUUCAAUAAAGUUAGGGAGGGGUCAACAUGAAACUUUGCACCAUGAGAGGAAGAAUAAAAAGGUAUACAUCUUGUAAAAUCUUCAGAUUUGUCACAGGGACUGAGGGUGGCAGAAUCUCUCCUAAUGCAUGUGGAAAAUAAAGUGUGCUGAUUGCAACAUAAGGCAACUUUUGGCAUAGUUCUUGUCCCACGCCCCUGGUUGUAACUGCCUUCUAUAAUUUUGUACAUAACUGUAACAAAAGUGUUGUGAUUGUAUCUUUUACUGCCUCUUGGCCAGGGCUCCCUCAAAAAUGAGAAUUUUAAUCUCAAUGGAACCUUGGUUAAAUAAAGAAUAUAAAAAUAAGUAAAUAAAAUGCAUUUAGAUAAUGAAACGUCAAUAAGGAAAAUUAUUUUACUUGUUUGUCAGUGCAUUUGAAGAAACAACUUAAAAUGUUAUUUAUUUAACCAGAUGAGCCGAUAGAGAACUCAUUCUCAUUUACAACAAUGAUCUGGCCAAGAGGCAGCAGCAACAGACACAUAAUUAGCUUUACAUCAAAGAAAAACUGAUGAAAUAAAAACAAACAACAUUAAAAUAAAAAUGGAGUAAAAAACAAAAUGAUUAUAUCAGGUGUAAAACUAACUUGUCUUUACUUUAAGUAAUUGUUUGGGGAAGAUAUCACGUUAUGUGUUUUAUUAGUCCCAUUCUGAACACACAGGUGUGUUUUAUUAAGCUCCAGCAGGUGGCGCUAGUACACCUUUACGCUGGUCACCGACCACCGGAAAAAAGCAGAAACCGGAAGCUGCUAGCAGAGCUAGCUUGUUGUUCUGGUGUGCGAGGAGAAUAUUUGAGGCCCUGCAGUAAAAAUGUCUUCACUUCAGUCUCUGGGAGAGUUGAUCAGCUAGAGCGACUAACUGCUGCUGCUGCAGAAAUCUUAUCACCAGGCUGUGGAAACUUUCUUCUCCUCCUCAAACACUUGGUGGAGUUCUUUCCAGAACCAGAGAAGAUAUUCUGCGGUCUUCGUGACAAUCGGAGCUCCAGAAUCAGGUUGUGGAUUGAAGAGGUUCCCUCUAUCAGACUCGCUCAUCUGAGUUGGUCAUGAUACAGGAUCGCUGCUCGCUCUCUGAUCCAUCCUGCUCACACUCUCCGACGGAAAAGCCCCGAAUCUGAAUGUGACUCUGGAGGAAAAAGCGGUUAGCUCUACUCCGUGAACUCUGCUGUUAGCUAAACACCGCUAAAGAAAACCUGCUACCACUUCAGGAUCAUCCAUCAGCUGGGACUGAUUCAUCGUGUGUUCUUCACCACCUGGACCUGGACAGCAUGGACACAGCUUUUCAACAGGUGGUGCUGGUUAAAGAAGAAGCUCUAGAAGAACAUAGCGCUGGUGUCAACCAGCAGGACUUAGAUUUUCUCCACAUAAAGGAGGAACAGGAGAAACUCUGGCACAGUAUGGAAGGGGCACAUCUCCAUAUGAAGGAGGAGACUGAUGCUGCCAGGUUUCCAGUCACUGUUGCUUCUAUAAAGAGUGAGGAAGAUGAAGAGAAGCCUCUGUUCUCACAGCUUCAUCAGAAGCAAAUAGAAGACAGAGAUGUUUCAACCAGCGGCUCAGCUGACCAGACGACAGCAGAAACUGGUGGACUAGAAACUAGCCGGAACCCAGAUCUGAACCCUCAUGAACUGACUCCUGAUUCUUCAGAGACUGACGUUGGAGAUGAUGAUGAUGAUGAUGAUGAUGAUGAUGAUGAUGAUGAUGCAACUCUUGACUCUGAGCUGUCAGACUCUGGGUCUGAAACUGGAGACAGAGACAAUGACUGGAAUGAGAACAGAUGUUCUGAGUCAGAUGUUAGGACUGUCAACAAAUCCUUUAGUCAUAGGACACUUUUAAACAGUCACAUGAGAGUCCACACUGGAGAGAGGCCUUUUGCUUGUGAGCUCUGUGGAAAGAAAUUUAGCUUAAAGUCAACUUUAAACAGACACACGAGUGUCCACACAGGACAGAAGCCUUUCACCUGUGAGCUCUGUGGAAAAACAUUUAGCCAAAAGGGAAGUUUAAACACACACAUGAGAGUCCACACAGGAGAGAAGCCCUUUACUUGUGAGCUCUGUGGAAAGAAAUUUAGCUUAAAGUCAACUUUAAACAAACACAUGAGCGUCCACACAGGAGAUAAGCCCUUUGCUUGUGAGCUCUGUGGGAAUAGAUUUAGUGUAAAGGGACAUUUAAACACACACAUGAGAGUCCACACAGGAGAGAAGCCCUUUGCUUGUGAGCUCUGUGGACAAAGAUUUAGUGAAAAGACACAUUUAAACAGACACGUUAGAGUCCACACAGGACAGAAGCCCUUUGCUUGUGAGCUCUGUGGACAAAGAUUUAAUGUAAAGACAAAUUUAAACAGACACAUGAGAGUCCACACAGGACAGAAGCCCUUUGCUUGUAAGCUCUGUGGACAAAGAUUUAAUGUAAAGACAAAUUUAAACACACACAUGAGAGUCCACACAGGAGAGAAGCCCUUUGCUUGUGAGCUCUGUGGAAAGAAAUUUAGCUUAAAGUCAACUUUAAACAAUCAUCUAAACAUCCACUAGGGCUGAACAAUAUAUUGCAGGGGUCUCCAACCCUUAUUGGCCUGUGAGCUACUUUUACACAAUGAAAGUACAGCAGAGUUACUGCCAUAUGAGUUCUUAUGAUGAUUGAUACUUUCCAUGUGUGAAUGUGCUUAUGUUAAAAAUGCUAUACUUACUUUAUUAACAUGCAUUGUACUCACAAGUUGAUUUCUCUUUAUUUCAGUAUAUCAAUAUUUUUUGUGUGUAAAUAAACAAGUGACAUUCUGAAAACCAAAUUAAACAAAACAUAUUUAGUUUUUUUAACUAAUCAAAUACUUCCAGAUAAUGAAUAACAAAUCUACUUCAUGUGAAUGAUUUGGUAAUUUUUUUAGAGGGUUGGUAACAUAAGUUUUUGAGCACGCAGGAACAGCUAACCUGUAAAGCUGAUGCUAUUUUAAAUAAAAUACAAGCUAAAUGUGAUGAAAACACAAAAAUCUAAAUAGUCUGAAUUGAAAUAAAAAAUGUAAAAUCAGAAAUAA